rnacentral:rRNA from 1 species
AGUGAACGCUGGCGGCAGGCCUAACACAUGCAAGUCGAACGGCAGCACAGUAAGAGCUUGCUCUUACGGGUGGCGAGUGGCGGACGGGUGAGGAAUACAUCGGAAUCUAAUUUUUCGUGGGGGAUAACGUAGGGAAACUUACGCUAAUACCGCAUACGACCUACGGGUGAAAGCAGGGGAUCUUCGGACCUUGCGCGAUUGAAUGAGCCGAUGUCGGAUUAGCUAGUUGGCGGGGUAAAGGCCCACCAAGGCGACGAUCCGUAGCUGGUCUGAGAGGAUGAUCAGCCACACUGGAACUGAGACACGGUCCAGACUCCUACGGGAGGCAGCAGUGGGGAAUAUUGGACAAUGGGCGCAAGCCUGAUCCAGCCAUACCGCGUGGGUGAAGAAGGCCUUCGGGUUGUAAAGCCCUUUUGUUGGGAAAGAAAAGCAGCAGGUUAAUACCCCGCUGUUCUGACGGUACCCAAAGAAUAAGCACCGGCUAACUUCGUG